rnacentral:rRNA from 1 species
GACGUAGGGCGCGAGCGUUGUCCGGAUUUAUUGGGCGUAAAGAGCUCGUAGGCGGUUUGUCGCGUCGUUCGUGAAAACUCACAGCUUAACUGUGAGCUUGCGGUCGAUACGGGCAGGCUAGAGUUCGGUAGGGGAGACUGGAAUUCCUGGUGUAGCGGUGAAAUGCGCAGAUAUCAGGAGGAACACCGGUGGCGAAGGCGGGUCUCUGGGCCGACACUGACGCUGAGGCGCGAAAGCCAGGGGAGCAAACGGG